rnacentral:rRNA from 1 species
UACAGGGGGUGCAAACGUUGCUCGGAAUUAUUGGGCGUAAAGCGCACGUAGGCGGUUACUUAAGUCGGAUGUGAAAGCCCUUGGCUCAACCGAGGAAGUGCAUCCGAAACUGAGUAGCUUGAGUACGAAAGAGGGUCGCGGAAUUCCCGGUGUAGAGGUGAAAUUCGUAGAUAUCGGGAGGAACACCGGUGGCGAAGGCGGCGACCUGGGUCGAUACUGACGCUGAGGUGCGAAAGCGUGGGGAGCAAACAGG